CAUAUGGGGCAUUGUAAGUCGCUCUGGAUAAGAGCGUCUGCUAAAUGACGUAAA
rfam:Salmo salar isolate Sally breed double haploid chromosome ssa20, whole genome shotgun sequence.